AGUGAACGCUGGCGGUAGGCCUAACACAUGCAAGUCGAACGGCAGCACAGUAAGAGCUUGCUCUUACGGGUGGCGAGUGGCGGACGGGUGAGGAAUACAUCGGAAUCUACUUUUUCGUGGGGGUUAACGUAGGGAAACUUACGCUAAUACCGCAUACGACCUACGGGUGAAAGCAGGGGAUCUUCGGACCUUGCGCGAUUGAAUGAGCCGCUGUCGGAUUAGCUAGUUGGCGGGGUAAAGGCCCACCCAGGCGACGAUCCGUAGCCGGUCUGAGAGGAUGAUCAGCCACACUGGAACUGAGACACGGACCAGACUCCUACGGGAGGCAGCAGUGGGGAAUAUUGGACAAUGGGCGCGAGCCUGAUCCAGCCAUACCGCGUGGGUGAAGGAGGCCUUCGGGUUGUAAAGCCCUUUUGUUGGGAAAGAAAAGCAGCAGGUUAAUACCCCGCUGUUCUGACGGUACCCAAAGAAUAAGCACCGGCUAACUUCGUG
rnacentral:rRNA from 1 species